GGGGGUAUAUCUCAAUAGGUAGAGACUAUUUUUUGCAAGAAUAAAGGUAGCGGUUCAAAUCCGCUUACCUCCA
rnacentral:tRNA from 1 species